GCAUAGCCGAGUUGAGAGACUGAUCGGCCACAAUGGAACUGAGACACGGUCCAUACUCCUACGGGAGGCAGCAGUAGGGAAUCUUCCACAAUGGGCGCAAGCCUGAUGGAGCAACACCGCGUGAGUGAAGAAGGGUUUCGGCUCGUAAAACUCUGUUGUUGAAGAAGAACGUGCGUGAGAGUAACUGUUCAUGCAGUGACGGUAUUCAACCAGAAAGUCACGGCUAACUACGUGCCAGCAGCCGCGGUAAUACGUAGGUGGCAAGCGUUAUCCGGAUUUAUUGGGCGUAAAGCGAGCGCAGGCGGUUGCUUAGGUCUGAUGUGAAAGCCUUCGGCUUAACCGAAGAAGUGCAUCGGAAACCGGGCGACUUGAGUGCAGAAGAGGACAGUGGAACUCCAUGUGUAGCGGUGGAAUGCGUAGAUAUAUGGAAGAACACCAGUGGCGAAGGCGGCUGUCUGGUCUGCAACUGACGCUGAGGCUCGAAAGCAUGGGUAGCGAACAGGAUUAGAUACCCUGGUAGUCCAUGCCGUAAACGAUGAGUGCUAGGUGUUGGAGGGUUUCCGCCCUUCAGUGCCGCAGCUAACGCAUUAAGCACUCCGCCUGGGGAGUACGACCGCAAGGUUGAAACUCAAAGGAAUUGACGGGGGCCCGCACAAGCGGUGGAGCAUGUGGUUUAAUUCGAAGCUACGCGAAGAACCUUACCAGGUCUUGACAUCUUGCGCUAACCUAAGAGAUUAGGCGUUCCCUUCGGGGACGCAAUGACAGGUGGUGCAUGGUCGUCGUCAGCUCGUGUCGUGAGAUGUUGGGUUAAGUCCCGCAACGAGCGCAACCCUUGUUACUAGUUGCCAGCAUUCAGUUGGGCACUCUAGUGAGACUGCCGGUGACAAACCGGAGGAAGGUGGGGACGACGUCAGAUCAUCAUGCCCCUUAUGACCUGGGCUACACACGUGCUACAAUGGCCGGUACAACGAGCAGCUAACCCGCGAGGGUGUGCAAAUCUCUUAAAGCCGGUCUCAGUUCGGACUGCAGUCUGCAACUCGACUGCACGAAGUCGGAAUCGCUAGUAAUCGCGGAUCAGCAUGCCGCGGUGAAUACGUUCCCGGGCCUUGUACACACCGCCCGUCACACCAUGGAAGUUUGCAAUGCCCAAAGUCAGUGGCCUAACCAUUUUGGAGGGAGC
rnacentral:rRNA from 1 species